rnacentral:rRNA from 1 species
UGAACGCUGGCGGCGUGCUUAACACAUGCAAGUCGAGCGAAGCACUUAGGAAAGAAUUUUCGGAUGAUUUCCUAAGUGACUGAGCGGCGGACGGGUGAGUAACGCGUGGGUAACCUGCCUCAUACAGGGGGAUAACAGUUAGAAAUGACUGCUAAUACCGCAUAAGACCACAGCACCGCAUGGUGCAGGGGUAAAAACUCCGGUGGUAUGAGAUGGACCCGCGUCUGAUUAGUUAGUUGGUGGGGUAACGGCCUACCAAGGCGACGAUCAGUAGCCGACCUGAGAGGGUGACCGGCCACAUUGGGACUGAGACACGGCCCAAACUCCUACGGGAGGCAGCAGUGGGGAAUAUUGCACAAUGGGGGAAACCCUGAUGCAGCGACGCCGCGUGAGCGAAGAAGUAUUUCGGUAUGUAAAGCUCUAUCAGCAGGGAAGAAAAUGACGGUACCUGACUAAGAAGCCCCGGCUAACUACGUGCCAGCAGCCGCGGUAAUACGUAGGGGGCAAGCGUUAUCCGGAUUUACUGGGUGUAAAGGGAGCGUAGACGGAGCAGCAAGUCUGAUGUGAAAACCCGGGGCUCAACCCCGGGACUGCAUUGGAAACUGUUGAUCUGGAGUGCCGGAGAGGUAAGCGGAAUUCCUAGUGUAGCGGUGAAAUGCGUAGAUAUUAGGAGGAACACCAGUGGCGAAGGCGGCUUACUGGACGGUAACUGACGUUGA